rnacentral:rRNA from 1 species
GAUGAACGCUGGCGGCGUGCCUAAUACAUGCAAGUCGAGCGAACGGACGAGAAGCUUGCUUCUCUGAUGUUAGCGGCGGACGGGUGAGUAACACGUGGAUAACCUACCUAUAAGACUGGGAUAACUUCGGGAAACCGGAGCUAAUACCGGAUGAUAUUUUGAACCGCAUGGUUCAAAAGUGAAAGACGGUCUUGCUGUCACUUAUAGAUGGAUCCGCGCUGCAUUAGCUAGUUGGUAAGGUAACGGCUUACCAAGGCAACGAUGCAUAGCCGACCUGAGAGGGUGAUCGGCCACACGGGAACUGAGACACGGUCCAGACUCCUACGGGAGGCAGCAGUAGGGAAUCUUCCGCAAUGGGCCAAAGCCUGACGGAGCAACGCCGCGUGAGUGAUGAAGGUCUUCGGAUCGUAAAACUCUGUUAUUAGGGAAGAACAUAUGUGUAAGUAACUGUGCACAUCUUGACGGUACCUAAUCAGAAAGCCACGGCUAACUACGUG